rnacentral:hammerhead_ribozyme from 1 species
AAGCGAAACCACCCCGGCCUGGCCGGUGGUGGUCUGCCCAGCGUGGUUGCUGGGCACUGAUGAGCAGCCGAGG